CCGUGGACAUGGCGAACCAGGUUAUCAAGUGCAAGGCUGCAGCUGCUUGGGAGGCUGGAAAGCCUCUCUCCAUAGAGGAGAUAGAGGUGGCACCCCCAAAGGCUCAUGAAGUUCGAAUCAAGAUCAUUGCCACUGCGGUUUGCCACACCAAGGCCUAUAUCCUGAGCGGAGCUGAUCCUGAGGGUUGUUUUCCAGUGAUCUUGGGACAUGAAGGUGCUGGAAUUGUGGAAAGCGUUGGUGAGGGAGUUACUAAGCUGAAGGCGGGUGACACUGUCAUCCCACUUUACAUCCCACAGUGUGGAGAAUGCAAAUUUUGUCUAAAUCCUAAAACUAACCUUUGCCAGAAGAUAAGAGUCACUCAAGGGAAACGAUUAAUGUCAGAUGGUACCAGCAGAUUUACUUGCAAAGGAAAGACAAUUUUGCAUUACAUGGGAACCAGCACAUUUUCUGAAUACACAGUUUGGCUGAUAUCUCUGUUGCUAAAAUAGAUCCUUUAGCACUUUUGGAUAAAGUCUGCCUUCUAGGUUGUGGCAUUUCAACUGGCAAUGGUGCUGCUGUGAACACUGCCAAGGUGGAGCCUGGCUCUGUUUGUGCCAUCUUUGGUCUGGGAGGAGUUGGAUUGGCAGUUAUCAUGGGCUGUAAAGUGGCUGGUGCAUCCCGGAUCAUUGAUGUGGACAUCAAUAAAGAUAAAUUUGCAAGGACCAAAGCGUUUGGAGCCACUGAAUGUAGUAAACCCAUCCAGGAAGUGCUCAUUGAGAUGACUGAUGGAGAAGUGGACUAUUCCUUUCAAUGUAUUGGUAAUGUGAAGGUCAUGAGAGCAGCACUUGAGGCGUGUCACAAGGGCUGGGGCGUCAGUGUGGUGGUUGGAGUAGCUGCUUCAGGUGAAGAAAUUGUCACUCGUCCAUUCCAGCUGGUAACAGGUCGCACAUGGAAAGACACUGCCUUUGGAGGAUGGAAGAGUGUACAGUGUCCCAAAGUUGGUGUCUGAAUAUAUGUCCAAAAAGAUAAACGCUGAUUAAUUUGUGACUCACAAUCUGUCUUUUGAUGAAAUUAAGAAAGCCUUUGAACUGAUGCAUUCUGGAAAGAGCAUUCGAACUGUUGUAAAGAUUUAAUUCAAAAGAGAGAAAUAAUGUCCAUCCUGUCGUGAUGUGAUGGGAGCAGCUUAACAGGCAGGGAGAA